CCUCCUCCGGUCCGACACUGGACCCGGCUUUCCCGAGCGGGAGGGGAUGGUCCCCAUCUAUCCGCUCCCAGCCUGGACGAGCACAUCCCUCGACCCGGGGAUGCAGACAGCGGCGAGCCACCGGCCGGGAGAGCCCGCGUCCCCGGGGCGCUGGGCAGAGCGGGGCAGCCUGCCACCCCCCUGCGCCCGCCCACCUUCCAGGCUCCGAGUGCCUCCCUGGGGUGCGUCCCGUCCGGCCGACCCCUUCCCUGGAGCACCCCCGCUAGCCUGGGGUCCCGCUGCCACCGUCCCAGGCUCUGGACUCACUUCUGGCUCUGCGCACCUUGGAGAACGCAGGCCUGAUCGUCCAGUGGGUCCUAGACCCAAUACCAGCACUUGGGGCACUUCCCCAAGUCAGGGGCUUAUUAGGAAGCCUCCCUUAGUCCACAGACCUAAGGGGCCUCCUCGGCAUAAUGUAGACCCACCCCUCAAUAAGUCUCCCACACCGGUCACAAAGGAGAACUUUAUUGAUGACAGGGGUAGGGCGGAAACAGGGUAAAAGGUAGAGCAUUGUCAUGGAAAUAUCAGAGGAAUCCCAUAGAGCAAACCAGGGUGGCUGAGGUAGCCUUUUGAUCUCGCAUCUGAGUUACUGUAAGCUACAUAUCUAGUCUGAUCUCGAGUAGCUUACUCACUUGCAUCGUCCAGAGGUGGUUGGCGUUUCCUCUGGAGGCAGGGCACUCUUGGAGCAUGCGGUGAUGAGGAGAGAGCCAGGUUCAGAUUCACCUGGAUGACCGCAUGGCUAAUGGCUGUUUUCUUCCUGGACCGGGCCUUUUUAUCACCUCUCUGACCUCAGCAGCCCGGUCCAAUCGAAGCUGCCAGUGCUGGCCACGAGCCAACCAAUCUAAAAAGCCUCACUGGCUACCUGGGCCGAUGAGCGGGGCUUUCCCCCCCUCCCCAGGUGACCAGAGCAUCUGCUUCCCAGGCCCCAGGCUUUUGUCAUGUAGACAGGGAGGGAGAUCCCUGCCCUGAGGGAUUCAACACCAGUCUCUCACGCUGGCAGAGACAGAGCUCUGGAGAGGGACACCGACGGUGGCAUGUCUGCCGGCAGUCACAGCCACACCUGCCCCUGAGCCUGGGGCCUUUUCCCAGCUGCAGAAAUGUUCAGUGCUUUGAUUAGAUACAUGUUGCUUUUUCUCACAACCACCCUUGGUAGCUCAGAAAAUGUUUAGCACUUUAAUUAGCAGCAGGUUUCUUUUUAUCAAUUCCCCCCCCCCCCCACCCCCUUCCCGUGAGGAAAGGAUUUUUUAUAUCCAGUGGGCUGAUGAAGUGACCUUGGUGCAUUUCCUGUUCCAGCAUGGUUUCCAUUCAUUGUGGUUUGGGCCAGAGGAAGUUUGCGUCAGGUGAUGAUGCUGGCAAGGUUUGGUGUUCACUUAAAGGCUAGGAUGGGUGGUUCUGGGAAGAUCACUUUAAGAACUGGGUCUCCUUUUAAUGUGGAUUGCACUUGUUUGAGGAUUUCUGCACAGAUUCCAGGAUGGGAUGGGAUGUCAUGACUCAUGGUGUGUGAUUCAUGGGGCGUCUCUUUCUGCGCUGCUGCAAAUCUUCCCGUGGUAUUCAGGUGGCUCUUUCAAAAGUGCAGUCUGUCUCCUGGAGGAGUGUCCUUGUUGGGUGAGCAUCAGGAGAGCACAGGCAGGGACACUGUCUGCGAUCUGCUGAGCUUGCCCCCGUGUCUGCAGUGCUAAGAGUUUCACAAAGCUUCACAAACUUAGCCACUGGCACCAAGGGCAGGGUCGGCAGAAGGCAGACUGCACCCCGCCUCUGUCUCCUUGGCUAGGGACAGACACUACACACAAAUUGGUUUCAGUGAUCAGAAAUGGGUUUAAACCUGUAACAGAACAGAACUUCAGGACAUAUACAGCAGUAUCUAAAUGGCUGAAACUGGUAAACCUGGUUGAAUGUAGUAUCACUGAUUUGGGUCAAACCAGUUUACGCAAUGUCUGUCCCAGACCCCUUCCUAGUUUAAGUUAAGCCAGAGUCCCCCAGCAUCCCAGGUGCUUUGCAGCCGUGGGCUGUGCUGUCUGCUCCAGAGAUCAGUGCUGGUCCCAGCCCUCUGCUCCCUGGCCAGAGCUCCUUCAGAGAUUGCAGGCACCGCAGGGUCUGCUUGGCUUCCCGCUGCCCCCUCCCACCCCUUGUCUCACUGCUUACUGCUCAAGCAGGGAGCCCCCAUUCCCUCCCAUCUCCCACAGCACAGCCCCCAGCCCCAUGGAUCCUAGGCGUGUAGCAUGCCAGCUAAUAGGGCUGGGCAAAGCUUCAGACCGUGAUUCGGAUUUGGAGAUGAUUCAGAUGAUUCAGAGACCAAAUCUAUAAAUCUGAAUCGAAUCGCUGGAAGCUUUAGGCUUUCUGAAUUGAUUCAGGGCUUCCGAACCACUUUGGAAAUAUCCACCACUUUGUGGUGUCACCAGGGUCCACCAUCUCUGCAGCUUUCACCCGCCCUGCGGUGUCACACAUACAUGUGACACGAGUUUUGCUUUCAAGAAUUUGGGGUGCACUUCCCCCUGAACCCCUCCACCAAUCUUCUUGAAACUUGGUAGACUUCAUGCUCUCAAAAGAGUCUACCACCCCUGCAAGUUUCAUCCCCCUCCCCCCCCCCCAAAAAACAAAACAAAACAAUCAAGCCAACAAAGUUAUAGAUAUUUCAUUGAUUCCCCAUUAUACCCUAUGGCUGGAUUUCCGAGGCCUCUCCAAAGCUUCAGAGCCACUUCAGCUGGAUCAAAGCAGAAACCCAGUUCAGAGCUCCGGACCGGAUCCUUGGCAUCUGAAGCUGCCAGAUCUGAAGCUGGAUCAAAUAGCUGCCGACUCGCGCAGGCCUACUAGCUAAUGCUGAGAAGUGUCUGUAUGUGCAUUUCUCCAGUUUCACUGGGACAGGCAGACAGAACAGUGUCCACAUAGGGAUUUUUGGAGCUAGUCAGCUGGUAAUGCUGGUACUGUCCCUCUGUUCCUUCCUUGGAAAAAGCUGUUUAAGAAGAGCUUGAACUAAUGAGAGACUUUUGUUUUGCUGAUGGGCUGAUAAACCCUGUGUUACUGGCUCCCUGCUGGCUCCCUCACCUGUCAGGUUUGCUGCAGACAGUAUGAAGCAGGAAGAGGGAUGUUGAAAAGCUCAGUACAGUAAAAGUCCUGUUAACCGGCAUCUUACAAGCCAGCUUGCUCAAUUAACUGGCAUGCCAGCUUGUAAGAUAAAGUGAAACCAGAAGUGCCCACCGUGGCAAUUUUAGUUUCUCUGAGCCCCCACGGCCCAGGGCAAAGCAGCCUGCGCUGCUGGGACUCCACGGCCUGGGGGCAUAACAUGCUGUGCAGGGCCCACCUCCCUGUCGCACAGGGCCUGCAGGGCCUGUGGGAGGGGCAGUGAUGCUGCGGGAGGGGUGGCAGGAUGCCCCAGACAUGGCGGGAGAAGCGGUGGUCCAGGCCGUUCAAUUAACUGGCAUAUUUUGUUAUCCAGCAUCCCCCAUUCCCAGGGGAUGCCGGACAGCAGAGCUUUUACUGUAUUAUCAACAGAUGCAUGCAUUUCACAUCCCCUUUUUUUCCUCAGAGUGCUAGUAAAGGGCUGGGGGUCUGGCAUCACUCCCACCCCUUGAGCAGCAAGUGGGGAAAAGCCAGGGACAGUACCGGCAGGGUGGGGGUUUACACCCCUCCCUAAUCAGAGCAUCCUGCCAGGGCCUGGCCAUGCCCCUGCUUAGCUUAGCACUGUGGAAGGGAAGGGAGGGCUGCUCUAGUGUCUCCUGGCUUCUAGCCUGAGCCUCUGCAGGCACGUGCCUGCAUUUCCUCAGUCCAGAGGGACUGUCUGCACACUUGCAAAUCCGUUCAGCCUAGCCGGGUUAGAGUAGCCUGCAAAGAUUGAAUCAAUUCAGGCUCAGGCUUUUUGAAUGUCUCUCCCUAGGCCUUUUGCACACUCUUUCAAACUAGUUUCUGCUAUUCAGUUUAUUUUCCUUUGUUAAACAUGCUCAGUUCUUGCUCUCUCUCAAACCAGUUCAUAUUAGUCAUUUUAUUUUGCUCUUGUUAAAUCAUUUCAUACACAGUUUAUUUUGAUCUCUCCGCUUUACAUUCUUAAUUUAAACAUUUCAUAUUGUUCACUUUUUUUGCAUGAUUUUCUGUUCUCUGAUUGGUUUCUUGGAAAUACUUACCCAGAUUUAUAUGCUCUUCAUAUAAUGUAAUUCUUUCUGAGUUCCUGCUGUUUGCCUGUUUACAUUGUUUUCCUUGCCCUUAGUCUGCAUGAACUUCAGGAAAUGCUGCAAUUGGAAGGCAUCCAAAGGCAGCGUAUGAAGUUUUAUUUAUUGUCACCAGAUUUAGAAUUUUUAGAAAAUCUGGUAUUUACUGUAAAAAAAAAGAAAAAAGAGAAAAGGGCAACACGGGUGGUUAUUAACUAUAUUAAUAUGCAGUUCUUCCUGCCAAGGCAUGUACCGCUGCCCCAGUUCUGUUUUUCAGGCAUGCCAGCACUCCAGCACCUUACAAUGUAGACAGUGCUGUUUUUCCAGCACUCAGCCCAAAAUUUUGCCUACGCUAUAGUCUUUUAGGCCUAGACUCAAGAAACAUCUUGAUGUUGAGAGCCUGGCCAGUGUUGCUAGAGGUGACCCCAUACCCAGAGCUCAAGGUACAUUCAUGGGGCAGUGAAUGGCCCUGCAUUGCUGAGGACAGAGGGGAUGGAGGUGCUGGGGCUCCUGGAGAUGGAUGGAGGCAGCAUGCGGCAGCCAGGCGAGGAAGGGAGGGCAGCGUGUGGAUGGUGGUGAACCAGGGCAGGCUGUACUGGGCCUUGCAUCAUCUGACCAGAUGAAACACCCAGUGACGCCUGCCCUGCUUGGCCCGGUCCUGUCUGGGGCCAGGGCCGUGUCAGUCAAGGUGCUCGUUACUGCGGUCGGGCUGGGUGACUCCAGGUGGUGGUGAUACCAUAUGCACUGGGUUCCCCGAGCCACAGGCGUGUUGAUAUCCUUAAAACUCAAGUAGGUUGGUGGACUUUCCUUUAGAAAUGCCAGGCUGACCCCCUGCUAGUGGUGUUCGUCCACAUGCUGAGCCACCUUUUUGUUCUACUUUAAAAAAAUGGAUUCCUGGCCUGCCAGGCACAGAAGUUGGACUCACCGGUCUGCAGCUCCCUGGGUUACCUUUGGAGCCCCUCUUCAAGACUUCAGAUACGUUUGCCACGCUCCACCUCUCUGGCACGAGGGUUGCUCUUAGCUAUAGGUUGCAGAGCAGUAGUUCUGUAGGACCUAACGUCUGGACUUGCAGGACCCUGGGGUGAAUGCCCUCAGGUCCGGGUGAUGGCAAUUACUGGUCCUCUGAAAUCCUCUCCUGUUUUGUCAGUUCUACUGAUUCCUGUCCUGAGAGGAAUGGGUCCGUGAAGGAACCUUCUCCAGCAAUGUCCAUAGUAAAGAUAAAUGCGAAGAGCAACUUGAGUUUCUCAGCAAUUACCUUGCCCUCCAUGAAUUCUGCCGUCACACCCUGCUGAGCCCCGGCAGGCUUCCUGCUGCUGGUCCUUACAGAAAUGUUCUGUGUCUCCAGCCAGUUUUCUCCUCUAAAGUCUAUUUUAGCUUGGGAUUCAUAGAUUCAUAGAUGUUAGGGCCGGAAGGGACCUCAAUAGAUCAUCGAGUCCGACCCCCAAUGCCAAAGUGUAUGCCAGGAAAGCACGCUCUGGAGUAUCAGGGUAAAAACAGGCAGCCGGGUUGAUGUGGGACUGGCUCGGCAGGGAUAUGUGUCAGGGCCACAUGCCAGGUUAAAAUGACAAUUACACUGAAUUAUAAUAUUAUAACUAUUUACUAUCUGGCUGUUUGCAUGGAGGAAAACAAGCGGUGCAAGCCAGGGCUGGUGGUGUUAAUUGGUGUCCAGGAAUUAACGUGCCCAAACUCAAACGCGUACGGCCAAGUGAGGUCAGUUGAGGUAAGUGCCAGUCGACUGCUUUGAGUAGCAGCGGAGCCACCAGCUCCAGCCUGGCCAGGCCCUUUGCCUGCGCUACACCCUCCCUUGUGUGCUCACAUGUUCCAGGUCCCAGAUUGUCAACACAUUUUCUAACACGCGUGUCUCCCCCACUAGAUCGAACUCGGGGAUACAUGUGUGGUGCAUUUCCCUCCCAUUCAGCACUGAGCAGCAUUCAACAAGGGGCAUCUCGGCGCUGGGAGGUGGUGGUGCGCAGAGGCGCAGAACUUCAAGUGAUGGUUUAAGCAGGUGGCAUUUGUUUCAACAGGCUUGAAGACAGCAGAGCAUGAAACCCCCGAGAACCUGCCGACCAGCCGAGAUUCUCUGUCUGGGCGUGUGCUGUGCGGCCGGCUGUCUACUCAACCUGGCCGGGUUCACGCGUGGAAACGAACCCAGGAACAUUACAGCAUCCGUGCACAGCAAUGUAUCCAUGUCCUGUGCUGCUGCAUGGAAAGAUGUGCAGCUCUCUGAAGUUACUGUUAACUGCCAGACUGACUCGCACGAAGUUGUGCACAGCUUUCGUGAUGAUGAAGACGACCUGACGAACCAAGCAGAGAGGUUUCGCGGGCGAACUGAAGUCAUUCACAAGGACAUUCGCAAUGGCAAAGCAUCUUUGCUGCUGAAAAAUAUAGUCCCAAAUGAUAUGGGAACCUAUCAUAUUUACUUUUUUCACCGCGGGGGUUAUGAGCACUGCAUCUUCCACCUUCAAGUGCCAGGGAAGGGCGCUGCAGUCCCAGUGCUGGGAGCUGUGCACUGUCUCGCUGCCGUCCUGCUGCUAUACAUGGUGUUGUGAGCACGUGAAGAUAAUCUAUCUUCCUGCAGAGCCCAGAUGCAAAUGCUGACUUGUGAGCCCGAGCACUGAGGAACCCAAAGUGAGUCUCGCUUCAUCUUUCCCAGCACCUCUACGGUACGUGACCUGCCUGCUGCUGCGACUGCCGGGGCCCAGUGGAGCGGACGGUGGGACGUCUGCCGAGAGCUGCUGCUUAAGGAAGUCUCCCCAGGACCUGGCAAGGCAGAAGUCCCACCGGAGAGGAGGCCUUAAAGUGAUUCCUGGUGGAGGGAUGGGUUGUGGGGUAGAAAUGCUAGUAGGGUGUGUGUGUGUGUGUUUGUUUUAUGUGUGUGUGUCACAGGGCACUAAGGUGCGUGCUUCUUUAAGGGCAUGAACUGCCUAGGAGAGAGCCCAGCAGUCAGUCAAGAGCCUCUCGGCUGCAAGUUAUAGCCCAGGGGCUCGUAUUUUGAUUUCUGUUUGUAAACCGGAGGAUUGGGCUGGGGCUCAUUGGGGGCCCACUACAGUGUGGGGACCCCAGCGCCAGUGUAGGCGCAGUGACAAAGCGGGUGAGCGGACCCCAGCACCAGGGGGCACAGAGACAGAGAGACAGAGACAGGGCUGCGGAUAGCCCAGUGAUGACCAGAGGCCAGGUUAAACUAAGGCCUUGGAGAGACACUGUGUGAAUGCCAUCUGCGAGGCUUGGGGCGUGGUAAAGGGACAGUUUGGAGCCACACAUCUAGCCCAUAAGGCUGAGGGUGUCCCGAGAGGCAUCCAUUUUGGAGCAGGACCCAAAAGGGUUCAGCGGGGUCCAUCAGGACUGUGCCCAAAAUACAAACUUGAGGGCAGCCUCCCUAUUUAUUACAGUUACAACAAGACAUGGCAGGAAAGAAAGAGGGUGCCCGUUGGGCAGAAUUGGCAUGGACAAGGAGCUCUAGGGGUAUCAUGGCCAUCCCUGGAGACCCCAUCCCAUGACACUGUGUAAUACAUUUUCCCCCAGUUUGCAGAAAAAUGGAAUCAAAGGAAAGUAGGGCUGAAAGGGACUUAACAAGUUUCCUAGUUCAGCUUCAUGCUUAAGGCAGGGGCAUCCCCAAAUAAACCAUCCCCAGCAAGAAUCUGUCUAACCUGCUCUUGAAUACUUGCAAGGAUGGAAAUUCCACUGUCUCGAGGUGCCUGUUACAAUGCUUGACCACUGUCAUCGUCAGAAAGUUCCUCCCAAUAUCCAACCUAAUUACCUCUGCUGCAGGUUGAGGCCGUUGCUCCUUGUUUCAUCCCUGCCACAGAGAAAAGGCCAUCUCCAUCCUCUCUAUAGUCACCCUUCAGGUAGUUGAAGACCAUUAUCAAGUCUCCCCACUCAGUCUUCUCUUCUCCAGACUAAAUAACCCUAGCUUUUUCAGCCUCUACUGACAACCCUCAACUUCCUACUUCAAAGGAUCAUACACAGGAGAUUCAGGGACAGCUCCUCUGCUGUUAGGUCACCUGACAGUACCUUGAAUGCAAGGCCUCAGGAGUUCCUCCUGCCACUCCUCAACUGAUCCUUUAAGGAUGAUGGAAUAUUUACACCAGCAUAAUAGUAGUGGACAAAUGAUGCAAACUCGUAAACUGUGGUAACUUCACCCAAUGUGGAGAACUGCCCUAGAAAGAUGUCACUAGAGUUUCACCCCUGAUUAAGUCUAGGUUCCAUCUGUCCACCUUCAACAUGGGGCGACAGUCUGCUAAAGGCAAAGAGGCAUCCUCUCACUGUCUAGUAACUGUUCACAGCCAUGGGACAGCUGCACAUCUGCCCUGUCCUAUUCCUGGUGCAGUUUAUACUAGUGUACCAAACUGGUGCCAUUUAGGCUGAGGCAUGUGUUCAUCUCUCCCUGGCCUAUGCCUGUAAUGUGGGCCUUAAAGGGUUAUCACUGGUGCAUACCAAUGCAAGUGGCAAGGCACCUCUUCCUGCUCCCAGAUGAGUUGAAGAGACAUCCACUAUUCCCUGUCCAAUGUACCAACCCAGGAAGUCAUGUCAGUAGCGUUAAGUAUAGACAGACAAGAUUCUUUGGGUAAGUCCAAUAUUUUUUAUUAGACCAAUUAAAAUAGUUGGAAAAAUCCUUCUUUACAAGCUUUCAGGUAAAACACCCUUCAUCAGACUGAUGAAGCAUCUGCAGUUAGUCUAUCCUUUUCCUGGAUGAAAUAGUAAAGAAAGCCAGUCAGUGAAAAUGUAAACUGAGUCAGUCAAUGGGGGAGAGACAGGUGGGGUUGGGGAAAGGGAAUGUAGACCUGGUGAUAAGAUAUAGCUGGUAAAUAGUAGAGAGGUUACCUGGGGUAUCAGAUAUUGGGCAGGUUGUAAUGUGCCAUAAAGCCAAUGUCUAUAUUUAGUCCAUGAUUUUUUGUAUCCAGUAGCUUGAUGAAGUGAAGUUCGUAGGCUUGUCUGUGAAAGGUGUCUUGUAAAUUCCCUUUGAGGAUUAGAACUGAGAGAUCGGAAGGAGAGUGAUUGUCUUGUAAGAAAUGCAUCCCCACAGGUGGUUGGGUAUUCUUGUCUUUGAUUGAUUCCCUAUGUACGUCAUUCUGGUACACCGGUGGUGUUUGGGCUCUCCUACAUAUUUCCCAUCAGGGCAUUUGGUGCUCUGUGUGCCCAGUGUGGGAGAGCUGGGCAUGUAGAGUCCCCCUACCUGGGGUGGAUCAUCCUCCUGCUUGCCUGCCACAUCUUUUUGGUGUAAAGAAGUUAGGAGGUUUCAUUGGGGAAAAUGGGAUGUUACUCCACCCUCGGGUUGGCUCGAUGAGAAAACGAGUGACUUAGAGCUCCACCUCCCCUACACCCUGUCCAAUGGACAACCAAAAUAAAGUCGCGGCAGCAACUGGGACUCAGUGCUACACGCUUGCCUCAGUCUGCUGCACCCUCCUGGGCUUGGCUUAAUCCUCUCCUUGUUCAGUUUCAAAGUCCAGGGUAACAGGCGUAUGGUCUCCCGCUUCAGCCAUCCCCUCUAAAAGGCAGAAAACUCUGUGGCCACCACCUCUCCCUGCUGGGCCACUGAGGUCAUGACAGGGUGCACUCCCCUGGCUGACCCUUCUUCUGUGGUAAUGAAACAUCAACACUCAAGGAGAACUUAAACUUUCAAAAGACCCCAGCAUCUGGCAUGUUGCCGCCUAGGGAACGGGACUCGCAUGUCCAAAGCUCCGUCUGGUGGACUCAGUCGCGCGAUGGGUCCCACCAGUCGCACUCAGCAAUCACACUGCCAGUCUUUAGUGGUGAGAGGCUCCUGGCUCUCCCCUGUGCCAGCAUGGGUAUGCUCCCUCGGUGCACUCUCUGGGUUCUGCCGGGUCUGCAAGGGGGCUCCUUGCAGCCCGAGCUGCUUUUGGUCCCGCGCCACAUCCUGGGGCUUGUCAAUGGCAAGGAUGCUCUUUUAUGAUGUUAUCAGCUGUGUGCUGUCCCACACGCAGGGAGAGCAUGCACUUAAAAUGCUCUGCUGGCUUGGGUCACUGAAGGGAAAGAUAAGUAACCUUUCAGCCCGCUCUGGGCUCUGUUCCCCCACCAGUCGGGGUGUGUUGGGGGGGAUUCCCCCUGCUCCCGGGGUACCUGGGAGUCUCAUCACUCAGCACAGCGACACAUCCCCCACUUCAGGUUUUGGAGACCUGUUGCUCUCCGGUGGCCUCAGUCAUUACCUGAAUCCACGUUCUGCCGUACUCUGUGGAUCCCACUGUUAGCCACGGCAUUGUCUUGACCUGGUCUAUGUAUCACCACAAACUUGGGUAGCUGAAGGGAAGGUGAGGAACCCUUCAGCCCACUCCGGGGUUUGCUCCGCCAUCAGUCAGGGUGUGUCGGGGUGGGGGGAGUUCCCCCUGCUCCCGGGGUACCUGGGAGUCUCAUUGCCCAGGAUGUUGCCCCACUGGAUGAGAUAGUUUACAUUUCUGGAGGUGCAGGUGUAAGAUCGGGGAACGGUGAUGGUUCUGCUGUGAGGUGGAGUUAUUGUGGGACUGGUGGAGAUGUGUUGGCAGGUUUUGCAUUUCUUGUCCCAGCACGGUCCCGAUCCAUAUAGCGUCCCAUGCAGACUUGCUAACACUGCUGUGACCUCCGCAAGGAAGCGGGAGAAAGGGAGUGGCUGCUGGGGAGCCCUGCGCUGAAUUCUUGUCCCAUUCUUCUUUUGUUCAUUUUCUAGCUUUUAUCGCUAUAUAAAUGAAACGAAGUGUAUGACUGUAUGUAUGUUUGCUUAUAACUCAAGAAUGGCGGGUCCUAUCUACUCUAAACCUUCCCAAAUCACUGAACACCACCCGAGGGAAAACUAUAGGUGGGAUAGUUUUCACUUGACCCUUUCUGGGGCUUCCAGGGACUGGGAUUUCUUUGCUUCAAAGAUAACAAACUGGGACCUCUCCAUUUUAGCUGCAGUGAAUUCAGUUCAAUUGUCAUUAUUAUAGAGAUGCUUGUCUUUUUUUUCCAACUCAGUUGUCAUUAUUGUAUUGAAGCUUGCCCUUUUUUUGCUCCACCUUAAAUAUUACAUGUUAAAUAUGUUGUCCUAAGUUCUUUGAAAAGAAACAAGCACUGCAAUUACAGAAACAACACCCUGGGCGAAGAAUGGGUACUUCAGCUAGUUUACUAAUAAAGUGCAUUUCCUUCA